GCCCUUAGAGUUUGAUCCUGGCUCAGAAUGAACGCUGGCGGCAGGCCUAACACAUGCAAGUCGGACGGAAACGACGGGAGCUUGCUCCUGGGCGUCGAGUGGCGGACGGGUGAGUAAGGCAUGGGAAUCUGCCCUUUAGUUGGGGAUACCGUAUGGAAACGUACGUUAAUACCGAAUGAGAUCUACGGAUGAAAGGUGGCCUCUACUUGUAAGCUAUCGCUAAAGGAUGAGCCCAUGUUAGAUUAGCUAGUUGGUAAGGUAAUGGCUUACCAAGGCGACGAUCUAUAGCUGGUUUGAGAGGAUGAUCAGCCACACUGGGACUGAGACACGGCCCAGACUCCUACGGGAGGCAGCAGUGGGGAAUAUUGCACAAUGGAGGAAACUCUGAUGCAGCCAUGCCGCGUGUGUGAAGAAGGCCCGAGGGUUGUAAAGCACUUUUAGUGAGGAGGAAAGGUUAGUAGUUAAUACCUGCUAGCUGUGACGUUACUCACAGAAAAAGCACCGGCUAACUCUGUGCCAGCAGCCGCGGUAAUACAGAGGGUGCAAGCGUUAUUCGGAAUUACUGGGCGUAAAGCGCGCGUAGGCGGAUUGUUAAGUCAGUUGUGAAAGCCCUGGGCUCAACCUAGGAACGGCGAUUGAAACUGGCAGUCUAGAGUUUAGUAGAGGGA
rnacentral:rRNA from 1 species